GAUGAACGCUGGCGGCGUGCCUAAUACAUGCAAGUCGAGCGAACAGACGAGGAGCUUGCUCCUCUGACGUUAGCGGCGGACGGGUGAGUAACACGUGGAUAACCUACCUAUAAGACUGGGAUAACUUCGGGAAACCGGAGCUAAUACCGGAUAAUAUAUUGAACCGCAUGGUUCAAUAGUGAAAGACGGUUUUGCUGUCACUUCUAGAUGGAUCCGCGCCGCAUUAGCUAGUUGGUAAGGUAACGGCUUACCAAGGCGACGAUGCGUAGCCGACCGGAGAGGGUGAUCGGCCACACUGGAACUGAGACACGGUCCAGACUCCUACGGGAGGCAGCAGUAGGGAAUCUUCCGCAGUGGGCGAAAGCCUGACGGAGCAACGCCGCGUGAGUGAUGAAGGUCUUCGGAUCGUAAAACUCUGUUAUUAGGGAAGAACAAAUGUGUAAGUAACUAUGCACGUCUUGACGGUACCUAAUCAGAAAGCCACGGCUAACUACGUG
rnacentral:rRNA from 1 species